rnacentral:antisense_RNA from 1 species
GUGGAUAGCGCACAUACGUGUAAAAUGAUUAAAGAAUUGUUUAGGGGGAAAAAAUAAAUUAAAGAAUGAGCUUAUUGUUGGAAGGUUUGAAAUGUUUGUGCUAAAUGAUGCCUGGAUUGUGAGAAAUUCCGGAAUUCUACAAAAGUUCUAAAUUAUGAUGCCCUGCAAGCUAAACGCGUAUUAUAAUAGGGUAGCAGAAUCUGAAAUAUUCUCCCGAUAGCAGAUCUAUGGGAAAAAUGAUGAAAUCGACUAUAGCCACCCCAUGAGGAUAGCUUCCCAAUGGUUUGAUUUAUGUCCAAGAAGUUUAAGCCUCAAUAUGAUGUUCGUCAUCUGGGUAUUCAUCUUCUUCAACUGGAACAUCUUGAUAUUGUUGAUAUUCAGAAACUAAAUCGUUCAUAUUGCUCUCAGCUUCAGUGAAUUCCAUCUCAUCCAUUCCCUCUCCAGUAUACCAGUGCAAGAAGGCCUUUCUCCUGAACAUGGAAGUGAAUUGCUCAGCAACACGUCUGAACAUUUCCUGGAUGGCAGUAGAGUUUCCAACAAAGGUUGAAGCCAUCUUCAAUCCUUUUGGAGGAAUAUCACAAACUGAUGACUUGAUAUUAUUUGGAAUCCAUUCAACAAAAUAAGAUGAGUUUCUGUUUUGAACCAAAAGCAUCUGUUCAUCAACUUCCUUUGUUGACAUUCUUCCUCUGAACAUUACACUAGCUGUGAGAUAUCUUCCAUGUCGAGGGUCUGAAGCACACAUCAUAUUCUUUGCAUCAAACAUUUGUUGGGUAAGCUCUGCAACUGAUAAAGAUCUGUAUUGUUGAGAACCUCUUGAUGUUAGAGGUGCAAACCCAAUCAUGAAGAAGUGUAAUCUUGGGAAAGGAACCAAGUUAACGCACAUCUUUCUUAAGUCACUGUUUAGUUGACCUGGGAAACGUAGGCAACAAGUUACGCCAGACAUAGCAACUGAAACCAAGUGAUUCAAAUCUCCAUAAGAUGGAUUUGUUAGUUUCAAUGUUCUAAAGCAAAUAUCAUACAAGGCUUCAUUAUCGAUUACUUGAACAGCAUCCGAAUUUUCAACCAACUGGUGAAUUGAUAAGGUUGCAUUGUAGGGCUCUACUACAGUAUCUGAUACCUUUGGAGAUGGGAAUACUGAAAAGGUCUGCAAAAUACGAUCUGGGAAUUCUUCAUGAAUCUUUCCAACCAACAAAGUACCCAUACCUGAUCCUGUACCACCUCCCAAAGAGUGAGUGAUUUGGAAACCCUGUAAGCAAUCACAAGAUUCUGCCUCAUGUCUAACUACAUCCAUUACAGCAUCUAAGAGUUCAGCUCCCUCUGUAUAAUGACCUUUGGCCCAAAUAUUACCAGCUCCACUUUGACCAAAAAUGAAGUUAUCAGGUCUAAAUAAUGAUCCAAAAGGACCAGCUCUAACUGAAUCCAUUGUUCCUGGCUCAAGAUCUACCAAAAUCGCUCUUGGAACGUAUCUUCCACCCGAAGCUUCAUUGUAGAAAACAUUAAUACGUUCCAUCUGUAAAUCUGAUUCUCCAUGAUAAGUACCAGUCUAAAUUCAUAUUUCAAAGAAAAAAAAAGAAAAAAAAAAAGUCAAUUAUUCAGUUCAAAUUAUUUCAAUUAUUUUCAAAACUUACAGGGUCGAUCCCGUGCUCAUCAGAAAUGACUUCCCAGAAUUUAGCACCAAUCUGGUUCCCACAUUGUCCUCCCUGAAUAUGAACAAUUUCUCUCAUUCUCUUUUAUCUUAUUAAUGGUAAUUAGGAAUCAAUUAAUAUGAAUAUCCUACAAAUUAUAGUAAUCAACAACUUAUUAUAAUCUAUAAUUCAAGUUCCCCAAUAGCCAGAAGAUUACCCAACCUUUUCUUGGGGAUUUUGAUCAUUUACUUACCACAAGUUGCGAGAUCUUAACGAAUUCUAUUUUGAGAUAUUCCUUAUAAUUAAUAGAAUUAUACCUCCAAUUAUUCCACACAAAGAAAAACACUUGAAAUUAUACUAUUCAAUGACGGACCCCACUUUUUAAGUAAAAAUUACGUAUGAAAUCAAGCAGAAAUCAGGCUUCCAUAUGGAUUACUAUAGAAGCGGGUCAGGGGGGAUUGGGACUAUGUAGAUUUUAUCCAAGC